rnacentral:rRNA from 1 species
AAGGCGAGGCCGAAAGGCGUAGUCGAUGGGAAACGGGUUAAUAUUCCCGUACUUGGUGUUACUGCGAAGGGGGGACGGAGAAGGCUAUGUUGGCCGGGCGACGGUUGUCCCGGUUUAAGCGUGUAGGUGUGUGUUCCAGGUAAAUCCGGUUCACUUUAACACUGAGGCGUGAUGACGAGGCACUACGGUGCUGAAGCAACAAAUGCCCUGCUUCCAGGAAAAGCCUCUAAGCAUCAGGUAACAUCAAAUCGUACCCCAAACCGACACAGGUGGUCAGGUAGAGAAUACCAAGGCGCUUGAGAGAACUCGGGUGAAGGAACUAGGCAAAAUGGUGCCGUAACUUCGGGAGAAGGCACGCUGACACGUAGGUGAAGUGAUUUACUCAUGGAGCUGAAGUCAGUCGAAGAUACCAGCUGGCUGCAACUGUUUAUUAAAAACACAGCACUGUGCAAACACGAAAGUGGACGUAUACGGUGUGACGCCUGCCCGGUGCCGGAAGGUUAAUUGAUGGGGUCAGCGCAAGCGAAGCUCCUGAUCGAAGCCCCGGUAAACGGCGGCCGUAACUAUAACGGUCCUAAGGUAGCGAAAUUCCUUGUCGGGUAAGUUCCGACCUGCACGAAUGGCGUAAUGAUGGCCAGGCUGUCUCCACCCGAGACUCAGUGAAAUUGAACUCGCUGUGAAGAUGCAGUGUACCCGCGGCAAGACGGAAAGACCCCGUGAACCUUUACUAUAGCUUGACACUGAACAUUGAGCCUUGAUGUGUAGGAUAGGUGGGAGGCUUUGAAGUGUGGACGCCAGUCUGCAUGGAGCCGACCUUGAAAUACCACCCUUUAAUGUUUGAUGUUCUAACGUGGACCCGUGAUCCGGGUUGCGGACAGUGUCUGGUGGGUAGUUUGACUGGGGCGGUCUCCUCCUAAAGAGUAACGGAGGAGCACGAAGGUUGGCUAAUCCUGGUCGGACAUCAGGAGGUUAGUGCAAUGGCAUAAGCCAGCUUGACUGCGAGCGUGACGGCGCGAGCAGGUGCGAAAGCAGGUCAUAGUGAUCCGGUGGUUCUGAAUGGAAGGGCCAUCGCUCAACGGAUAAAAGGUACUCCGGGGAUAACAGGCUGAUACCGCCCAAGAGUUCAUAUCGACGGCGGUGUUUGGCACCUCGAUGUCGGCUCAUCACAUCCUGGGGCUGAAGUAGGUCCCAAGGGUAUGGCUGUUCGCCAUUUAAAGUGGUACGCGAGCUGGGUUUAGAACGUCGUGAGACAGUUCGGUCCCUAUCUGCCGUGGGCGCUGGAGAACUGAGGGGGGCUGCUCCUAGUACGAGAGGACCGGAGUGGACGCAUCACUGGUGUUCGGGUUGUCAUGCCAAUGGCACUGCCCGGUAGCUAAAUGCGGAAGAGAUAAGUGCUGAAAGCAUCUAAGCACGAAACUUGCCCCGA